GGUUGUGGCUCAGUGGUAGAGCACUUGCCUGGCAUGUGUGAGGCACUGGGUUCAAUUCUCAGCACCA
rnacentral:tRNA from 1 species